ACUGGGCAUGGUGGCGCAUGCCUGUGGUCCCAGCUACUAGGGAGGCUGAGGUGGGAGGAUCACUUGAGCCCAGGAGGUCGAGGCGGCAGUGAGCCAUGAUUGCACAGCUGCCUCCAGCUUGGGUGACAGAGUGAGAUCCCAUCUCAA
rfam:Homo sapiens chromosome 17, GRCh38 reference primary assembly.